rnacentral:lncRNA from 1 species
CACACAUCAGACAUGGUAGGGAUGUUGAAAUUAUCAGACAGGAAAUUUAAAACAACUAUGAUUAAUAUACUAAGGACUUUGAUGGGUAAAGUAGACAACACGCAAGAGCAGAUGGACAAUGUAAGCAAAGAGAUGGAAAUCCUAUGAAAGAAUCAGAAAAAAAUUGCUAGAGAUAAAAAAAAAAAAACAUUGUAACAGAAAUGAAGAAUGCCUUUGAUGGGCUUAUUGGUAGAUUGGACAUGGCUAAAGAAAUUAUCUCUGAGCUAAAAACCCAUAAUAGUGCCAUUCACUAAGACAGGCAAACAUAGGAGGAGGACCAGAUUAGGCUUUGGAUAUGUACAUCACCCGAUGAAAAAACUUUAAAAGAUGAAAUGUUUUUCUUCCAGCUGGGAAGGAACCAUGGUGGUUUUGCCCUGUCUACAGAGAAGCAUGUGGGAACUGGAUGGGAAAACAAGACAAAGAAAAGAUGGGCUAGUGGGAAAAGGCACAGCUUCGAUGGAAACCACAGUUUGUGUCUGCAGAUGUAUGUCUACAAAUGAGAAAGGAACAAAAGGAACUCAUUUGCCAAGAAGUAGAAGAGUUGGACCGUUUUUCCAUUUAGAAAUAAGCAGUGUACCCCUGUGGGUGGACAAGAUUUUGACAUCACCUGCAAGACAGGAAGGAGAGGCUCUGAACUGAGCGAGCACAGCAGAUUGACUGGGGGAAGGGAGGAGGUUCGCCGCAUACAGAGUGUGCUCCGGGCAGAAUGUCACCUGUAACGCGGUCUGAGGAUUGGCUCCUGCUUUAAUGGGCUCGCUCUGCAUCCCUGUUAUAACCCCAGCAUUGAUUCAGCUGCAGACUCAGUGUGGGACCGAAGUCUGGAAAAUUACUAAUGGCCUCAGGGAAGGCUUGGUGACACACAAUAAAACUGGUUCUGGUGUAAUCUCUGCAUUGGGAACUUGGAUUUAUCUCUGUAUUAGAAAUGGGCUUCUAGCGCCUUUGACCUUUUGCUGCAAUUAGAGUUAGACACA